CCUGCCUUGGAGGUGUCAGAUGUGGCUGCUGUCCUGUGUGUUUAGUAAGUAGAUGGCAGGGAAGAGAAAGCCUGUGUCUAGGCUCAGUGUUCUGCCCUAUGAACAUGUCAAUGACUAGUAGUCUAACCCU